rnacentral:lncRNA from 1 species
AAAAGUGGGUCAAAUCUUGUCGGAUUUUUGUAUAUGUAGGAUAUCGCUCCGGCAUCUCGCCGUUGAAGCAACGCCGCUGCUCCAUCUUGUUCUCAUUAUAACGUCAAAAAUCAUGAGUUUCAUCGGUGAUACUCGCCUAAAAACGACACUACAUCAUCUUGUUUUCUUUUCAUAUUGUUGCUCUAAAUGUUAUCUCGUAUAUCC